UGACUUAGGACAACCACAAAAUCAAUUAGGUUGUCUGUUGACAGUCUGUUGAUGUCUUGUUGUAAUUUCAUGACCGAUAAUUCCCGAGGGCGAACCUGGAAGGGUCUUGUUCAUUGACCAAAUAUAACCAAAAUUCUGAGAUUAAAAAACAAAGAUUUCUCCAGUUUUUUUAACAAUAGGGUUGAGCCACAAUUUUCCGUUUUAUGUCAGCUUUCAGGCUUGGGUUAAAAUUACCACUUGUGGUUUUAAUGUCUUCAAAUAUCAAAGACUCGAAAAAAUGUUUUUAUCGACAAAUUCUAUUAAUUUAAAGUGCAUAUGCAAUAUGCAAUAUGCAUAUGUAAUUUUUGGACAGCUCUUUUAAAAAAUGUUAUAAUUUAAUCCGUGAAAUCGUUACUUGAAACAAAUGGUUUUUUAAACAUUCAGUCAGUCUCAGUAUAGUCCUGUUGGCACUACUCAAUAAACUUCUCCGCCCGCAUCGGUAAUCGGGGAACAACACUAGCCUUUCUCCAACCAGUUGAAGAGCCUUACGUCCACUUCAUUGACAUCAACCAAAAUAAGUUGAAGUUAACCCAUACGACAGUCAACAGAACGAUCGCGCAUUGAUGGACAAGGCGGACAAGGCCACUAGAGCGUUUGUUUUUUCAUUCACUCUCACGUCAAACACGAAUAUUCCGUUCUACUUCGAGUAAAAGUUUAUUGAUUUAGUUGACUUGUGUCAUUCACCGUCAUUUGGUCGUAAGUUCCGGUCUCCUUAAUACACUCCUGAAAAUGCCCCAACUUAACAAUUGAAAAACGGAUUUCUUUUAUCCGAUGACCAUUGAUCUCAACUUAAUCGCCUACAAGGACAACGAGGCUGCUGCACGUGCCGACGAAGCGUGCUAGACAACACCUGAAACUGACGAGUUUAUUUACAUAUUUUGUACCGAUAAUAAUUCCCCUCCCCUCACAAAAUCAAGGCUACAACAUCAAACAGUUACAUUAACACGUUGAAAGUGAAACUGUAAAGAAAUGAACGACUUUAUCUAAUAAAACAUUGAUUACAAAAAAAUUAUUUCUAGAUUGGCUGAUAAAAAUUGUUAAUCAUGAUGAAGUGGUGUUGUACAUUGACAGGUAGGUUCUUGAUGUGGCGGAGUUACCUGAAUUGAAGAGGAUACGUUUGGGGGUAGUGUUUGAUGCUGAGAUUGCGAGUCGUAUUCCGGAGUAACUAUCGCCAAGAUUGAUGCCAAAGAAGGAAACUGGCAAUGAGGAGAACCCAGCCCAUGAGGAGGUACACGUGAAGCAAAGUCCUCCACAAGAAUUUGGUGAAGACAAGUUGAGGGCUGAUGAGAAUCAAGGAUGUGAGAGGAAGAACAAAACUAGCGGUGAAGAGUAAACUGCCAAGGAAUGGAUGGAGGACAAUGAAAACGGUUGCCACCCAAGGUGUGGCGUGGUGCACGUCUUCGGGAGGAAGAUUCGUUAGUUUAGCUGCCUGGGCCGUAGGUUAUUCUGGAAUCAUGGGCUCCAUCAAGUGGCUCCACUGUCCAUACUGGGCGUGUCGUAGGCAAAUUGUCCCCUGAGCCCUGAGAAUAACACCGCAUUGAGUCUUGCCCAUUCCCCCGUUUGGCAGCAUCUGACCUCCGUUUCCAUUCUGAUAUAGGGCCACGGAUGACUGGAGCGAGUUCGUUGUGUCGUUCCAUCCCAUUUUGAUGCAGAUACCUUAGCGAUGGCGGUGGUGUCAGGUGUAGUAGCGUUCCGGCGUCACUCUGCAAGGAAUCCAUGUCCAGAUAUAGCGUCGUCCCAAUUGCUGGAUGCUGUUGGAGACUGUGUUGGCCCAUAUCAUGUAUAAUAUAUGAUAUGGUAGUUAGCAAUGUUGGGUAGUUAACGUGGGAAGCUGCUGCGAUGACAGCAAUAGAAAUCACAGAAAACAACUCGCGAUAAAAAAGUAGCUGCUCAGUUAACUGAGCAUCUUGGAAAAUUACAUUUAAUAACUGCUGCUACUGUGAGAGCAACA
rnacentral:lncRNA from 1 species